UCAAGUCAAACUGGCAGUAAUGGUAAACUGGUAAACUGCUUUGUGUUAAUUCAUAUAGAUCUGUUUGCUUUGUAACUUGUUAGUUUAUUUGGCCAAAUUGAUUCGAAAAUACAUAAUCAAGAAUUUAUUGGUCAUAUAUUUGUAAUAUGUGAUAAUUUUUUUCUAGUCCAUGAGUGUUCAAAAUAAGUGAUAGGUAUUUUUAAACAAGAAUCAUGUGUCGAAAAAUAUUUUUGAAGAUACUGCUGCUUGUAUUGAUACUAAUGUUUGUCUCAAUAGAGAGCAAGAAGCAGAAAACAGCAGUAAUAAGUGAAAUAAGUGAUAUCAAAGAGUUUAAGAAGUUGCUGAGGACAAAAACAAAUGUUUUGGUGCUAUUUAUUAAUGAACCCAAAUCAUCACAUUCACUAGUGGAAGUUUUUAAAGAUACAGCUGAUGUUAUGAGAGGGCAGGCAACUCUAAUUUUUAUGGAUUGUAGUAAUAGUGAAACAAGAAAAUUAUGUAAGAAAAUGAAGGUGCCUGCAGAUAAGCCUUACUGUAUAAAACAUUACAAAGAUGGAGACUUUAACAAAGAUUAUGACAGAAGUGAAACUGUUAGUUCAAUGGCUAACUUUCUCCGAGAUCCAACUGGAGAUCUACCUUGGGAAGAGGACCCAUCUGCCACGGACAUUUUCCAUCUCAGUGAUGGGGAGGCACUCACAAAAUUCCUGAAGAAAGGGCCUGGUGCAUAUAAAAGAUCUAUGAUAAUGUUCUAUGCUCCGUGGUGUGGCUACUGCAAAACAAUGAAGCCUGAGUAUGUGAGUGCUGCUGCUGAUUUAAAGGGCGAGUCUAUAUUGGCUGCGAUUGAUGUUGCUAAACCAGGCAACUCAAAAAUUAGACAAAUAUACAAUAUUACUGGCUUCCCAACACUGCUGUACUAUGAAAAGGGCCAAUACAAAUUCCCAUACAACAGCGAGAACAAACGACAAGCUAUUGUGGACUUUAUGAGGGAUCCAACAUUACUCAUGCAUCAAAAAAAGAAGGAGGUAGUAGACGAGAGCUGGUCUCCAGAUACUGACGUCGUCCAUCUAACAGGGGAUAGUUUUGACCAAGCUUUAUCGAGAGCGGAACAUGCUCUGGUAGUAUUCUACGCGCCGUGGUGUGGUCAUUGUAAACGCAUAAAGCCUGAAUUUGAGAAGGCAGCUACAAAAAUAAAGGCGGCAAAACUGCCAGGAAUCCUAGCUGCAGUGGACGCCACGAAACAGCCUGAGCUGGCGGCGCGUUUCGGAGUAAAGGGUUACCCCACGCUGAAAUACUUCAACUUCGGCGAGUACAAGUUCGAUGCGAGUCACGCACGACAGGAGGAUCAGAUUAUCAACUUUAUUAAGAAUCCGCAAGAGCCGCCGCCGCCCCCGCCGCCGGAGCGACCGUGGUCAGAGGAAGAGAGCCCCGUGCGCCACCUCACCACAUCCACCUUCCGUAACACGCUACGCAAGAUCAAGCACAGCAUCGUCAUGUUCUACGCACCAUGGUGUGGCCAUUGUAAAAGUACAAAGCCGGAGUUCGUAAAAGCCGCCGAGAAAUUUGUCGAUGAACUUAUAGUGUUGUUCGGUGCUGUGGAUUGUACCGCGGAGCAAGAGUUGUGCGCGCAAUACGACGUCAAGGGAUAUCCCACUAUAAAAUACUUCAGCUACUUUGAUAAACAGGUCAAAGAAUACUCAGGCGGCAGAAAAGAGGCGGAUUUGGUGUCUUACAUACACAGUCAGAUGGGUGACCACGAGACGUUACAAAAGGCGAAAACGACGCAGGAUGCUGGCUUCGGAGGCAGCGUGGUUCUGGCCUUUGAUAAUGACUUCGAACAAGUUAUUGCCGCGCCGACACCCACUUUUGUCAUGUUCUAUGCCAGUUGGUGUGGGCACUGCGUAUCAGCAAAACCAGCGUUCAGCAAACUGGCAACAUCGCUGAAGUCAGAGAAGUCGCCGGUGAAAGCGAUCGCAGUGGAUGCGGCGGAGAAUCCUAAAGUUGCCGACUUUGCCGGCAUACAAACACUGCCCACGUUCAAACUAUUCGCAGCGGGCAAACAUGUCGCCGACUACGAAGGGGACCGGUCCAUGGAAGACAUGCUUAACUUCUGCCGCUCUCACGCAAAGGUGAAAGACGAAUUGUGAUCUUCGUAGUGAACCAUAGUUUAGUUUACACUCAUCACAGUUUACUUCAUUAUAUCACAAUAUACGCCACUAUUUGCUACCGCUUUUGUACGUUAAAAUUUUAAAAUUCCUUUAUGAUCACGUUUCUAUUCGAUCUAUAAAGGGAUCUUUUUAAACAUAUUAUAUUAAAAUAGUUAAGAACCCAGUAACGUUAGUUCAAUAUAUUUUUAUACUCAUUUUAGUUAAAGUUUGCUGUAAUAAUUAUAUUUAGAGAUAAUAUAUACUUAUAUAGAUAUCGGCACAUAUCAUAUUUAUUAUUUUCAUAUUAUUACUUCAAUGCUGAUGCGGAAAUAGUAGUGGUAAAUUGUAUUAACGGUCGUUAUCGAGCUAUUCGUUGAAUGAGGUAUAAUUCACUCUACCAUUGGUAAAUUAGUGUAUUUUAACGUCAUAGAAUGUUACAAAUUAAUUUAAGAUUAGCAACAGUUGAUGUGGAAUCAAAUCGACGAUACUAAACUCUUCACCAUAAUUAGUUAUGUGCCGACCGAUAUAUAUUUAAACUUAUACUAUUACAAGGGGCCUGUGAAAUCUUUGCACAAGAAAGAAAAGAAAAAAAAUGGAUAUAAUAUGAUGUACCCGAGGAUUUAUUAGAUUUUGGGGACUGUGAGAUAAUAUGAUACUUUUUGUGAGGUUUGAUUUUACGUAAUGUGUGUGUCGAUUUGUAUAGGGUAAACCAACCCAACCAGCCGAUUUUUAUAGGUUUAACCUAGAGACGGCGUAGAGACGCCACACGCUAUUUUGUCAGUGCGUAGCAAGCACGUAACGCACCACGUCGCGUUUAAUACAAUAAAAAUUGGCAUACAGUAUUCUGUGAAAUUAACGUGGUACGGUAUUCCAUACCACGUUCAUUUCACGAAGGUAACGUAACACGGUCGCGUUACGUUCGCACUGUCAGAGAAUAAUCCCCACGAUAAACAUAUUUGCCUCCCUGGGAUGAAGGUAUUAUCUAAUGUUAUCCAUGCGAAGUUGUUACUGGCCGCUGGUUAUUAUUAAAACGUAGUUUAAAUAUACUAAUCACUUUAGCUCUCAUUUUCUGUAUUGGGAGUGGGUGUAAUCCGAUUUUUCGAAUAUGAAAUUAAGAGAAAAGGGACCUUUGUGUUUGUGUACUUAAGCAAUAAUUAUACACUGGUCAACAGUGGUUUUAUUACACUAUUAAGGAUUCUGGGGUCACAUGAUGUGUCUAUGCGGGAAAUCAGUACACUGAAAACCAUUUUUAACUUGACAACUAACACAAUAAUAAUUCGUGAUUUAAAGACCCUACUUAAAGUGUUGAUUAUGUUAUAUAUAAAAUACGCCAAAAUCAUAAAAACCAGGGUCAACUUAGAACUUUAAUGAGUGUACUCAAAAACUGGGGUCUUGAAAACAUAUAAAUCUGCAGGGCAUCAACAAAAAUAUUUGUUUUUGUUGAGCUGUGUUAUGGUUAUACAAAAAGUACUUUGAUAUUUUAAAAAUUGUGUAAUAUUUUAAAAAUGUCUGAUAACUAAAUUAUAAUAUAUGUAUAUUAUCGUAGGGACUGCCGCCUUCUUAGCUGGCUAGUCUUGCAUUGUAUUCUUCAAGUGUUUGUGAAAAAUCGGUUUAUACUGUAACUGUAUUAAUGUAAUUUGUAAUAGAUGAUAAUAAUUCCCAAUCGAGUAGGUAGUCUUGUUCGCAAUGAGUUAACAUGGGAUUUUAUUGUAAUGUUUGAUAUUGAGGUACUUAUAAGGUAAACAAUGAUCUUUAAAUCCAUAUCUAUUUACACGUGUUAAGACGAGGCCGAUUUCGAGAUGGCUAUGGAAUAAUAAUCAUCGUUUUUAAAAGCCUUAAAGAAUUCAUUUUUUUAUUCUGUGAACACAUAUUGUGUGAAUGUUUUAUUUAAUUUCUGUGAAAUUACGAUAAGUUUUAGUAUUUAACGCACGUCAUUUUUAUGAAAGUUUUAUUUAAUACUAUUCCUGACUGACUCACGAAUCCGCAGUAUUUUUUUUUAAAUUAAUGCUUAGUCUAGGGUGCAACUCCGUGAGAAAUGUUAUUGGGAUAUGACACAUUAAAGUGCUAGGUUGCACAGGUGCAUAAUAUCACUACACGCGUUACACGUAUCUGCUAUUUUCGGCAUCGUUUUGAAAUGCGGGGCGCGCAAGCUGCUCAGUGCACAGUAAGUAGUAAUUAGAAUAGUAAGGAUGCUGAAGUAUGUACUCCGUAAAGUAGGCGAGUGUUACUAACAAAAGUAUGAUGACUAGAUCGCAUAUGUGUCGAAUUUGGCCUCGUCGUUGUUACGAAUUAAAUAUGUUUAUCCCAAGAGUUACGUAGUUUAACUAUAGUUUGAAUAAUGACAAUACUAUGAAUUUUUAUUAUACCCUAUAAUUAAAUAUUUAUACAUUCCUUGUACUUAUCACAAACUUUUGGUACUUGAUUGCAGGCUUAAAUGUGAUCAUUUAUCAUAAACACUUACCUCGUAUUAUGUCAAGUAAUAGGUAUAUGCGAGAUACAUUUGCCUGCCUUAAGAUAUAAUAAUAAAUUUCAUUGUAUUCGUAAACAAUUGAAGAAAUCUGCUCAUAACAUAUAUGGUAGUUGAAUUUCCAUACAUUUGUGAAAGAGUUGAACAAUAGCCUACUGGCAAAACCACGGAUAGAAAUAGUGCAUGAAGCGAAAACAAACAUCAUACAAUUGAUCAUUUUAACAUGUUUGUAUUAAUUUAGUGUUAUUGUGCCGCAAAUAAAUGCUUUAUAUGUUAUAAUUUGAAAA
rnacentral:misc_RNA from 1 species